rnacentral:rRNA from 1 species
AUUGAACGCUGGCGGCAGGCCUAACACAUGCAAGUCGAACGAGUGGCGGACGGGUGAGUAAUGUCUGGGAAACUGCCUGAUGGAGGGGGAUAACUAAUGGAAACGGUAGCUAAUACCGCAUACCAUCAGAUGUGCCCAGAUGGGCUUAGCUAGUGGGUGGGGUAACGGCUAACCAAGGCGACGAUCCCUAGCUGGUCUGAGAGGAUGACCAGCCACACGGGAGCUAAACCACGGUCCAGACUCAUACGGGAGGCAGCAGUGGGUAAUAGUGCACAAUGGGCGGAAUCCUGAUGCAGCAAGGCCGCGUGUAUGAAGAAGGCCUUCGGGUUGUAAAGUACUUUCAGCGGGGAGGCGUUACCCGCAGAAGAAGCACCGGCUAACUCCGUGCCAGCCGCCGCGGUAAUAC